rnacentral:rRNA from 1 species
CCUACGGGUGGCUGCAGUGGGGAAUAUUCGACAAUGGGCGAAAGCCUGAUCCAGCCAUGCCGCGUGUGUGAAGAAGGCCUUCGGGUUGUAAAGCACUUUCAGUGGGGAAGAAAGCCUUGGGGCUAAUACCCUCGAGGAAGGACAUCACCCACAGAAGAAGCACCGGCUAACUCCGUGCCAGCAGCCGCGGUAAUACGGAGGGUGCGAGCGUUAAUCGGAAUUACUGGGCGUAAAGCGCGCGUAGGCGGUCUGAUAAGCCGGUUGUGAAAGCCCCGGGCUCAACCUGGGAACGGCAUCCGGAACUGUCAAGCUAGAGUGCAGGAGAGGAAGGUAGAAUUCCCGGUGUAGCGGUGAAAUGCGUAGAGAUCGGGAGGAAUACCAGUGGCGAAGGCGGCCUUCUGGACUGACACUGACGCUGAGGUGCGAAAGCGUGGGUAGCAAACAGGAUUAGAUACCCCAGUAGUC